rnacentral:rRNA from 1 species
AGCAGUCGCCGCGGUAAAACGUAGGUGGCAAGCGUUGUCCGGAAUUAUUGGGCGUAAAGGGCUCGCAGGCGGUUUCUUAAGUCUGAUGUGAAAGCCCCCGGCUCAACCGGGGAGGGUCAUUGGAAACUGGGAAACUUGAGUGCAGAAGAGGAGAGUGGAAUUCCACGUGUAGCGGUGAAAUGCGUAGAGAUGUGGAGGAACACCAGUGGCGAAGGCGACUCUCUGGUCUGUAACUGACGCUGAGGAGCGAAAGCGUGGGGAGCGAACAGGAUUAGAUACCCCAGUAGUCCCUGUCUCUUAUAA